AAGUGAGUUAGGAGCUGCUGGACAGCAACCCAUAAAAUGAAGGAUAUCUCAUUAAACUUAUGAGGAAAGAGAAGAUUGGGAUUCUCAAUGGGUAGGGAACAACCCUAGGGUGACACCCCAACUUCCAAAGCCCCUAAAUUAGAUUGAAAUAACUUUGCCCACUUCCCUUUUCCCCAUUGCAUGCACCCGCCAGAAAUAAGAGAAAAAGGAGUCUAGGAGUAAAGAUCUUUGUAGGAAAAAUAAGAAGAUUUUGAAGAAUCAUCCUCAUACAAGGAACUUGGAGUUUAAAGUCUUUGGAGGUAAAAGGAGCUUAGGAAAACGAAUUGAGUGAUAGAUCAAGGAGAUUAAGGUACAUAAGAACACCCUCUUUAUUUACUCUCUUUAGCUUUGGUGAAAUUUUGAUGUGUGGUAGUUCAAUUAUGUUUUUUUUUUAUCAAAUUGAUGAAAAUAGUUCAUGCAUGUUAAAUUUUGAGUUAAGAUUUCACUUGCAUGUGAUUGAUUUUGAGUUAUAAAU